rnacentral:rRNA from 1 species
GACGAACGCUGGCGGCGUGCUUAACACAUGCCAGUCGAACGGAAAGGCCCUGCUUGCAGGGUACUCGAGUGGCGAACGGGUGAGUAACACGUGGGUGAUCUGCCCUGCACUUCGGGAUAAGCCUGGGAAACUGGGUCUAAUACCGGAUAGGAGCCAUUUUUAGUGUGAUGGUUGGAAAGUUUUUUCGGUGUAGGAUGAGCUCGCGGCCUAUCAGCUUGUUGGUGGGGUAAUGGCCUACCAAGGCGGCGACGGGUAGCCGGCCUGAGAGGGUGGACGGCCACAUUGGGACUGAGAUACGGCCCAGACUCCGACGGGAGGCAGCAGUGGGGAAUAUUGCACAAUGGGCGCAAGCCUGAUGCAGCGACGCCGCGUGGGGGAUGACGGCCUUCGGGUUGUAAACUCCUUUCGCUAGGGACGAAGCUUUUUGUGACGGUACCUAGAUAAGAAGCACCGGCUAACUACGUG